UACGAAGGGUGCAAGCGUUACUCGGAAUUACUGGGCGUAAAGCGUGCGUAGGCGGUUUGUUGCGUCAGACGUGAAAUCCCUCGGCUCAACCGGGGAACUGCGUCUGAUACUGGGUGGCUUGAAUCCGGGAGAGGGAUGCGGAAUUCCAGGUGUAGCGGUGAAAUGCGUAGAUAUCUGGAGGAACACCGGUGGCGAAGGCGGCAUCCUGGACCGGCAUUGACGCUGAGGCGCGAAAGCCAGGGGAGCAAACGGG
rnacentral:rRNA from 1 species